rnacentral:lncRNA from 1 species
CCCAAAGAAAGUGAACAGAGCUUCAUUGCUUACUCUUUGUCAUGGUUUGACACUGGCACCAUGCCAGUGCCCCCAUGAAAAUGUGAUCCCUACCUUGAAUGCUGUGAAGUGGAAUCUAGAAUAGAGCAAAGCAGGCCCAAGCUUAAUAACAGGAAAAAAACUUUAUUAAACUACUACUACUAAAAGAAAAGAGAAAACUAAAGAAGGGGGAAAAAAAACACACAAAGAUCAAAUGAAAACCUUGCAAAACAUUCCUCCCCCCACCACCCAACUCCAACAAACCACAGUGAGACACAAUCUGGACCCCAGUCAGGUUUCCACCCUCCAAGCAAUCGAUACUCAGUCCAUUGAGGGAACAGAGUCUCUCCUGUGCCACAGACCCCCCAAGAAACACAGCUCCACAUCCUGUGUUUCCAUGUCACACAUGGCACCGCCCGGAGAAAAAGUUUGCCAUGGUGACCCUUCUCCUUUCCAUGCACAGUGCUCUCACCACAAUGCAUGGAUGGUCACUGCCUUUAGGAUUUUUCCUUUCAAGGAUGCCCUGCCAAGAGGGGAGAAAACAACGGUUCAGUUUUUCAUUGUUUGGGACCACAGUCCCCCCCAUUUUCCCCUGGGGCCGAGGGCUCAAGAACAGAGAUCUUCUUCUCUUCUCUUUCCUUUCCAGGGCAAGGGGGCGCCACCACAAACCCCCUAACCUUUUCUCUGUUCACUCCACUUUUGUCUUUUUCCCAGCUGAAGCAGGUCUCUUGACUCACUGGCAUCCUCCCAAAACACAGUCCCUCUUGAAGGAGAAGAUUUGUUUCAGGUUGUGGCUAACACGGAAAAGUCCAGCCAAAAGCCACUCCUUGUCCCCCUCUCAUGUAGAAUUCCUCCUUCCAACAUCCCAUCCCAGGGUCCAAGGUGUCCCUCUUCUUCUCUUUCAAACCGAGGAGGGGAAAGGAAAAUUCACAAAGCUUUCAUUUCUCAAGGAAAGGGUUAAAAGUCCGAACUCCCAGGAUGGCUCGAUGCCCGGACAUCCAGCAACUCCCACACAACUGGGCACCUUGCAGCUCCCCCCGCUCCUCCUUCCUUGCGGCUUUCUCUCUCCCUCUCGGGAGAGGAACUCUGGGGGGGGAAAUGGAGACAUCCCAGAUUUCUUCCACCAUUCCAUCUGCAGGGGCCAGCCCGGUUCCAGUCCUUUCACCACCCUUCGGGCUUUCGGCCUACCUUUCUCAGGCCAUGGGCUUCCCCUGCCCCACCCAGCUCGUGGCUGGGCGGGGGAAGGUCUGCACUGCACGCUGACCGGAACCAAAGAGAGCGAGUUCCCCUGGGAAUUCUGCUUUCAACCCCUCUGUGUUCUCAGAGGCGUGUCUACUUUCAAUUGGUCAAUAUCUAAAUUGACCUCUUCCUUCCGGGAAAAAUUAUCUUUCCGUGUCAAACCACGACACUCUUCCACCUGGCACAAGUGCUAAG